GAUGAACGCUGGCGGUAUGCUUAACACAUGCAAGUCGAACGGACUCUUCGGAGUUAGUGGCGGACGGGUGAGUAACGCGUGAGAAUCUGGCUUUGGGUUCGGGACAACCACUGGAAACGGUGGCUAAUACCGGAUGUGCCGAGAGGUAAAAGGGAAAUUGCCUGAAGAUGAGCUCGCGUCUGAUUAGCUAGUUGGUGAGGUAAAGGCUCACCAAGGCAGCGAUCAGUAGCUGGUCUGAGAGGAUGACCAGCCACACUGGGACUGAGACACGGCCCAGACUCCUACGGGAGGCAGCAGUGGGGAAUUUUCCGCAAGGGGCGAAAGCCUGACGGAGCAAUACCGCGUGAGGGAAGAAGGCUCUUGGGUUGUAAACCUCUUUUCUUAGGGAAGAACAAAAUGACGGUACCUAAGGAAUCAGCAUCGGCUAACUCCGUG
rnacentral:rRNA from 1 species